GAUCUGAUUAUUGAUUAUCUUGUUGUUUAUUAGAAUGUUAUUACUUUAUUUUGAUUGAAAUAUCAUUAUUGGUUGCUGUAUUUUUUAGAUUUAAUUUUUUAUACGAUAGAUUAUUUGUACCGUGUGGGGUGGAGAAAUUUAUAAAUGUUUUAAAGGAAGUUAAUUUUAUUUGUUGUACCUUGUGUAUCAGGGUUCAUUGAAUUUUAUUAUUUAUUUUUAUUUCCCGAUUUUAAAGGAGUUAAUGGCUUAUUUUAUUUAUUGUUUCAACAAUAUUAAUAAUAGGUUGUUGGUAAUGAAAUGUUAUUCGUCUUUUGUGGUUUCUGGUUUUUCAAGAAAUGAAUUCAAUUCAUGCAUCAUAUUUAAUUUCUGUUAUCAUAUUAUUUAUUUUUAUUUGAUGCUAAGAUUAAGGGGGAUUAGCUCCUUAUUCUAUUGUUAUAAUUUUUGUUUAAAUUUGGUUUUGUGGAUUUUAUAUUGAUUUUCAAUUUGAUUAUGUUAAAAUUUUACUUGUUCUUUUAUUUAUUUUAUUGUAAUUUAAUUAUUUUAUUGAAAUGUUUUCUUUACUUUUUUAUGAGUGGUAAUUAUUGUGGAAUUAGUAAAUCUUAAUUGUAUGUUGUUUAGCUGUAGAUGUUAAUUAUUGCUUAGGAAUUAGGCAAAUUAUUUAAUGUCCGCCUGUUUAACAAAAACAUCUCUUCUUGUUAGUUUUUGAAGUAUGGUCUGCCCACUGACUUAUAUGGUUGAAGGGCCGCGGUAUUUUGACCGUGCAAAGGUAGCAUAAUCAUUAGUUCUUUAAUUGUGAUCUGGUAUGAAUGGCUUGACGAGGCAUUAGCUGUCUUGGUUGUAUUUUUAUUGAAUUUGGUUUUUGAGUUAAAAUUCUCAAAUGUUUUUAUGGGACGAGAAGACCCUAUAGAGUUUAACAUUUUUCUUGUUGUAUUUUUAUGUUUGUUUAUUGUUUAAAUAUGAUGAAUGUUUUGUUGGGGUGAUGGGAGGAAUUUUUUAAACUCCUCUUUAUUGAAUUGUAUAUUUAUUUAUAGUUUUGUUAUGAUCCAUUUAUUUUGAUUAUAAGAUUAAAUUACCUUAGGGAUAACAGCGUUAUCUUCCUUGAGAGUUCUUAUUGGCAGGGGGGUUUGCGACCUCGAUGUUGGAUUAAGAUAAAUUUUCGGUGUAGGAGCUGAAUUUGAUUGGGUCUGUUCGACCCUUAAAAUCUUACAUGAUCUGAGUUCAGACCGGCGUGAGCCAGGUUGGUUUCUAUCUAUAUUAUAUUUUUAUACCUUAGUACGAGAGGACCGGGUAUUUGGAAUAAUUUUAUUUGUAUUUGAUUAUUAUUAAUAUGAUACUAUUUUGGCAGACAAGUGCAUUGGAUUUAGAAUCUAUUAA
rnacentral:rRNA from 1 species